GCCCAUGUGGCUCAGUAGGUAGAGCACUUGCAUGGUAAGCAAGAGAUCAUCGGUUCGAUUCCGAUCAUGGGCU
rnacentral:tRNA from 1 species